rnacentral:rRNA from 1 species
GGGUUGUGAGGUUAAGCGACUAAGCGUACACGGUGGAUGCCCUGGCAGUCAGAGGCGAUGAAGGACGUGCUAAUCUGCGAUAAGCGUCGGUAAGGUGAUAUGAACCGUUAUAACCGGCGAUUUCCGAAUGGGGAAACCCAGUGUGAUUCGUCACACUAUCAUUAACUGAAUCCAUAGGUUAAUGAGGCGAACCGGGGGAACUGAAACAUCUAAGUACCCCGAGGAAAAGAAAUCAACCGAGAUUCCCCCAGUAGCGGCGAGCGAACGGGGAGCAGCCCAGAGCCUGAAUCAGUGUGUGUGUUAGUGGAAGCGUCUGGAAAGGCGCGCGAUACAGGGUGACAGCCCCGUACACAAAAAUGCACAUGCUGUGAGCUCGAUGAGUAGGGCGGGACACGUGGUAUCCUGUCUGAAUAUGGGGGGACCAUCCUCCAAGGCUAAAUACUCCUGACUGACCGAUAGUGAACCAGUACCGUGAGGGAAAGGCGAAAAGAACCCCGGCGAGGGGAGUGAAAAAGAACCUGAAACCGUGUACGUACAAGCAGUGGGAGCACGCUUAGGCGUGUGACUGCGUACCUUUUGUAUAAUGGGUCAGCGACUUAUAUUCUGUAGCAAGGUUAACCGAAUAGGGGAGCCGAAGGGAAACCGAGUCUUAACUGGGCGUUAAGUUGCAGGGUAUAGACCCGAAACCCGGUGAUCUAGCCAUGGGCAGGUUGAAGGUUGGGUAACACUAACUGGAGGACCGAACCGACUAAUGUUGAAAAAUUAGCGGAUGACUUGUGGCUGGGGGUGAAAGGCCAAUCAAACCGGGAGAUAGCUGGUUCUCCCCGAAAGCUAUUUAGGUAGCGCCUCGUGAAUUCAUCUCCGGGGGUAGAGCACUGUUUCGGCAAGGGGGUCAUCCCGACUUACCAACCCGAUGCAAACUGCGAAUACCGGAGAAUGUUAUCACGGGAGACACACGGCGGGUGCUAACGUCCGUCGUGAAGAGGGAAACAACCCAGACCGCCAGCUAAGGUCCCAAAGUCAUGGUUAAGUGGGAAACGAUGUGGGAAGGCCCAGACAGCCAGGAUGUUGGCUUAGAAGCAGCCAUCAUUUAAAGAAAGCGUAAUAGCUCACUGGUCGAGUCGGCCUGCGCGGAAGAUGUAACGGGGCUAAACCAUGCACCGAAGCUGCGGCAGCGACGCUGAUGCGUUGUUGGGUAGGGGAGCGUUCUGUAAGCCUGCGAAGGUGUGCUGUGAGGCAUGCUGGAGGUAUCAGAAGUGCGAAUGCUGACAUAAGUAACGAUAAAGCGGGUGAAAAGCCCGCUCGCCGGAAGACCAAGGGUUCCUGUCCAACGUUAAUCGGGGCAGGGUGAGUCGACCCCUAAGGCGAGGCCGAAAGGCGUAGUCGAUGGGAAACAGGUUAAUAUUCCUGUACUUGGUGUUACUGCGAAGGGGGGACGGAGAAGGCUAUGUUGGCCGGGCGACGGUUGUCCCGGUUUAAGCGUGUAGGCUGGUUUUCCAGGCAAAUCCGGAAAAUCAAGGCUGAGGCGUGAUGACGAGGCACUACGGUGCUGAAGCAACAAAUGCCCUGCUUCCAGGAAAAGCCUCUAAGCAUCAGGUAACAUCAAAUCGUACCCCAAACCGACACAGGUGGUCAGGUAGAGAAUACCAAGGCGCUUGAGAGAACUCGGGUGAAGGAACUAGGCAAAAUGGUGCCGUAACUUCGGGAGAAGGCACGCUGAUAUGUAGGUGAAGUCCCUCGCGGAUGGAGCUGAAAUCAGUCGAAGAUACCAGCUGGCUGCAACUGUUUAUUAAAAACACAGCACUGUGCAAACACGAAAGUGGACGUAUACGGUGUGACGCCUGCCCGGUGCCGGAAGGUUAAUUGAUGGGGUCAGCGCAAGCGAAGCUCUUGAUCGAAGCCCCGGUAAACGGCGGCCGUAACUAUAACGGUCCUAAGGUAGCGAAAUUCCUUGUCGGGUAAGUUCCGACCUGCACGAAUGGCGUAAUGAUGGCCAGGCUGUCUCCACCCGAGACUCAGUGAAAUUGAACUCGCUGUGAAGAUGCAGUGUACCCGCGGCAAGACGGAAAGACCCCGUGAACCUUUACUAUAGCUUGACACUGAACAUUGAGCCUUGAUGUGUAGGAUAGGUGGGAGGCUUUGAAGUGUGGACGCCAGUCUGCAUGGAGCCGACCUUGAAAUACCACCCUUUAAUGUUUGAUGUUCUAACGUUGACCCGUAAUCCGGGUUGCGGACAGUGUCUGGUGGGUAGUUUGACUGGGGCGGUCUCCUCCUAAAGAGUAACGGAGGAGCACGAAGGUUGGCUAAUCCUGGUCGGACAUCAGGAGGUUAGUGCAAUGGCAUAAGCCAGCUUGACUGCGAGCGUGACGGCGCGAGCAGGUGCGAAAGCAGGUCAUAGUGAUCCGGUGGUUCUGAAUGGAAGGGCCAUCGCUCAACGGAUAAAAGGUACUCCGGGGAUAACAGGCUGAUACCGCCCAAGAGUUCAUAUCGACGGCGGUGUUUGGCACCUCGAUGUCGGCUCAUCACAUCCUGGGGCUGAAGUAGGUCCCAAGGGUAUGGCUGUUCGCCAUUUAAAGUGGUACGCGAGCUGGGUUUAGAACGUCGUGAGACAGUUCGGUCCCUAUCUGCCGUGGGCGCUGGAGAACUGAGGGGGGCUGCUCCUAGUACGAGAGGACCGGAGUGGACGCAUCACUGGUGUUCGGGUUGUCAUGCCAAUGGCACUGCCCGGUAGCUAAAUGCGGAAGAGAUAAGUGCUGAAAGCAUCUAAGCACGAAACUUGCCCCGAGAUGAGUUCUCCCUGACUCCUUGAGAGUCCUGAAGGAACGUUGAAGACGACGACGUUGAUAGGCCGG